CCAUGUGUGGGUGAGCGGUUGAAACCAUGGAGUUGUAACCUCCAACUUUAAAAAGCGCAUUGGUUCGAAUCCAAUCACAUGGACCA
rnacentral:tRNA from 1 species